rnacentral:rRNA from 1 species
UACAGAGGGGGCAAGCGUUGUUCGGAAUUACUGGGCGUAAAGGGCGCGUAGGCGGCCUUCUAAGUCGAACGUGAAAUCCCUGGGCUCAACCCAGGAACUGCGUCCGAUACUGGAAGGCUUGAAUCCGGGAGAGGGAUGCGGAAUUCCAGGUGUAGCGGUGAAAUGCGUAGAUAUCUGGAGGAAUACCGGUGGCGAAGGCGGCCUUCUGGACAGUGACUGACGCUGAGACGCGAAAGCGUGGGGAGCAAACAGG